rnacentral:sRNA from 1 species
GGAGGAAAAGGCGCUCCGUCAUGGGGAUCCAGACGAGCCCCGUCCUGCUGGCCUCCCUGGGGGUGGGGCUGGUCACUCUGCUCGGCCUGGCUGUGGGCUCCUACUUGGUUCGGAGGUCCCGCCGGCCUCAGGUCACUCUCCUGGACCCCAAUGAAAAGUACCUGCUACGACUGCUAGACAAGACGACUGUGAGCCACAACACCAAGAGGUUCCGCUUUGCCCUGCCCACCGCCCACCACACUCUGGGGCUGCCUGUGGGUAAGGAAAGUGUGGAAUGGGCUCCUUUCCCUGGUCUCCUCAGAAGGUGACUCCCCUCCUGGGGUCUCAUGAAACACGCUGCUUCAACCGGUUUGCUCCACACACCAUUCCCCUUCCCCCACUUGGCUCUGCAUCCUCCAAGCUGUGAGGUGCCACUGGGCCCCUCUAGGGUGUGGCUUCCAUGACCCCCAUCCAGCUUUAACACUCAACAGUCUUGCCUCUUCCCUGCAGGAUUUGCUAAUUACUCCCUCUGAGCAAGCACUACUAACUUUUUCCCAUUGCCCAGACCCUUUUGACUCAUCUGUCAAGGUCCUGGCAGUAACUGGCAGGAAACGCUGGAAAUAAGUGUUUCCUCAACUGGGCGCUUAUAAGAGAUCCAACUGAGGGCUCAACGGGGCAAAUCUUCCCUGCCUGGUAGCUCCUUGGGACCACAGCAGGAAGCAAGUCAUCUUGUUCUCUCAAAUCUCUUUGAGUAUUUUGAGGGAUGCAGCACAUCACAGACAACCCUUAUGUAGCUCUCUGCACGGUCCCCAGGCAAACAUAUCUACCUCUCCACCCGAAUUGAUGGCAGCCUGGUCAUCAGGCCAUACACUCCUGUCACCAGUGAUGAGGAUCAAGGCUACGUGGAUCUUGUCAUCAAG